GUCGCAGUGAUGAGCAGCUAACAUGUAAGAAGAGCCAACUCUGUGUUGGUUCCUCGAUGAAAUCCUCUUGUUACGCUUGGCUUCUGAGCUUC